GACGAACGCUGGCGGCGUGCCUAACACAUGCAAGUCGAGCGAGGAACUUCGGUUCCUAGCGGCGGACGGGUGAGUAACACGUGGGUAACCUGCCUCAUAGAGGGGGAUAGCCUCCCGAAAGGGAGAUUAAUACCGCAUAACAUGUUUUGAUAGCAUGAUCGAAACAUUAAAGGAGUACAUCAGCUAUGGGAUGGACCCGCGGCGCAUUAGCUAGUUGGAGAGGUAACGGCUCACCAAGGCGACGAUGCGUAGCCGACCUGAGAGGGUGAUCGGCCACAUUGGAACUGGGAUACGGUCCAGACUCCUACGGGUGGCAGCAGUGGGGAAUAUUGCACAAUGGGCGAAAGCCUGAUGCAGCAACGCCGCGUGAGUGAUGAAGGCCUUCGGGUUGUAAAGCUCUGUCUUUGGGGACGAUAAUGACGGUACCCAAGGAGGAAGCCACGGCUAACUACGUGCCAGCAGCCGCGUAA
rnacentral:rRNA from 1 species